rnacentral:rRNA from 1 species
AAUGAACGCUGGCGGCGUGGAUUAGGCAUGCAAGUCGAACGCGAAAGUUCCCUUCGGGGAGCGAGUAGAGUGGCGAAAGGGUGAGUAAUGCUUGGAUGACCUGCCCUCGAGACGGGGACAACAGUUCGAAAGGACUGCUAAUACCCGAUAAGUCCGGUUUAGAUGCGUCUAGAUCGGUAAAUGGUGCUUCCGCUCGAGGAGGGGUUCAAGUCCUAUCAGCUUGUUGGUGAGGUAACGGCUCACCAAGGCGAUGACGGGUAGCCGGACUGAGAGGUUGGCCGGGCCACAUGGGGAACUGAGACACUGUCCUGACUCCUACGGGAGGCUGCAGUCGAGAAUCUUCUGCAAUGGGCGAAAGCCUGACAGAGCGACGCCGCGUGGAGGAUGAAGGCCCUCGGGUCGUAAAACUCCUGUCACGAUGUUAUGAAACGCACAGGUCUACCUGUGCGCUGACAAAAGCAUGAGAGGAAGUCACGGCUAACUUCGUAG